ACGAUGAGAACUAGAUGUCGGGAGGAUUUAGCCUUUCGGUGUCGCAGCCAACGCAUUAAGUUCUCCGCCUGGGGAGUACGCCGGCAACGGUAAAACUCAAAGGAAUUGACGGGGACCCGCACAAGCGGUGGAGCAUGUGGUUUAAUUCGAUGCAACGCGAAGAACCUUACCUGCCCUUGACAUUGACAGAAUCCUGUAGAGAUACGGGAGUGCCUUCGGGCCUGGAAAACAGGUGCUGCAUGGCUGUCGUCAGCUCGUGUCGUGAGAUGUUGGGUUAAGUCCCGCAACGAGCGCAACCCUUAUCCUUAGUUGCCAGCGGUUCGGCCGGGAACUCUAGGGAGACUGCCAGCGACAAGCUGGAGGAAGGCGGGGACGACGUCAAGUCAUCAUGGCCCUUAUGGGCAGGGCUACACACGUGCUACAAUGGCCGGUACAGAGGGCUGCAAACCCGCGAGGGGGAGCCAAUCUCAGAAAGCCGGUCGUAGUCCGGAUCGGAGUCUGCAACUCGACUCCGUGAAGUCGGAAUCGCUAGUAAUCGCGAAUCAGCAACGUCGCGGUGAAUACGUUCCCGGGUCUUGUACACACCGCCCGUCACACCAUGGAAGUAGGUUGCACCAGAAGUAGGUAGUCUAACCCUCGGGAGGACGCUUACCACGGUGUGGCUUAUGACUGGGGUGAAGUCGUAACAAGGUAGCCGUA
rnacentral:rRNA from 1 species